rnacentral:sRNA from 1 species
UUUUUUCUUCUUCUUGUUUCU